rnacentral:rRNA from 1 species
AGCCACAGCCAUAUCACCCUGCAGCCCAAGACUGGUUGCCCACUGAAGCUAAGCAGGGUUGAGCCUGGUCAGUACCUGGAUGGGAGACUUCCUGGGACCUCCUGGGAAAACUAGGUUGCUGUUGGAA